GAGUUUGAUCCUAGAUCAGGAUGAAUGCUUGUGGCAUGCUUAACACAUCCAAGUUAGACAAGAAGCGAUGUUUCGAGUGGCGGGAAGGUGAGUAACACAUAAGAACCUGCCCUUGGGAGGGGAACAACAGUUGGAAAUGAAUUAUAAUACCCCAUAGAUUGAGGAGAAAAAGGAGGAAUCCUCCCAAGGAGGAGCUCUCGUAUGAUUAUUUAGUUGGCGAGGAAAUGAAUUACCAAGGCGACGAUCAAUAGCUUGUCCAAGAGGAUUAUCAACCACAUUGAGACUGAGACACGACCCAUAAUCCUAUGGGAGGAAACAAUGGGGAAUUUUUUGUAAUGGGCGAAAUAUUGACGAAGCAUUGCUAUAAUGUCCCUAAUCC
rnacentral:ncRNA from 1 species